UACGUAGGGGGCAAGCGUUGUCCGGAUUCACUGGGUGUAAAGGGUGCUCAGGCGGACUUGUAAGUCAGAGGUGAAACUCCGAGGCUCAACCUCGGAACUGCCUUUGAUACUGCAAGUCUCGAGUACGGGAGAGGGUAAUGGAAUAACAGGUGUAGCAGUGAAAUGCGUAGAUAUCAGGAGGAACACCGGUGGCGAAGGCGCCACUCUGGGCCGAAACUGACGCUGAGGAGCGAAAGCGUGGGUAGCAAACAGG
rnacentral:rRNA from 1 species